rnacentral:misc_RNA from 1 species
CCGAGUUUACAACUCCCAAACCCCUGUGAACAUACCUUUAUGUUGCCUCGGCGGAUCAGCCCGCGCCCCGUAAAACGGGACGGCCCGCCGCAGGAAACCUUAAACUCUGUUUUUAGUGGAACUUCUGAGUAUAAAAAACAAAUAAAUCA